GGUGUUCUUUAGCAAAAUUUUGGUAAAAAAUAAUUUGAUGCCUCCAAUCAGACAGGGAAUGCAAAAUAUAUACAGUUUAUGUCCAUAAAUAGAUGGAAGAAAGAAAUCGUACCACGUUUUUUGCUUUGUUGGCAGAUUUGGAGGGAUUUAAAAACUAAAUAAAAUGCAUUAUUUUAUUGGAAGGAAACGACGACGUUUUUACCACAGCAGACCCUGCUGUGAUUAAAUCACAGCAGAGGAUCCGCUCCCGAAAAAAACUGGGUUAUCCCUUUGCUUUCUCAGAUGGCGUUGUAUAGCGGUGCAAAAUCAACGGUCUCAGAUGUUCCGAAAGCAUUGUUUACUGAGACGAACUUGGGUACCCGUCUCGCCGUUUCGAUUUCUCCGGAUAUCACAGCUGACGACUUCAAAAGAGUGGUCGAAAGGGCGCAUCUCCAGUUGCUUCCCGGAAUUCAGAACUAUCAGUGUGUUUUUGUUACCAGGUGACGCGGAAAUUACAUCUUUAUCACCUAUUGGGGUCUUUGCCUCUCAAAUAUGCUUUUCUGGAUUCAAAUGCUACUUGGUUUCUUCAAACAGACGUUACCUUAUCAAACGUCCCAACUCGUGUAGAGUCAUUGAAGCGUAAUGAAGCUGAAGUUCACAAGUGCAGUUCUGCUGCUACUGUGAUUACUGAUUCAGUUGAGCUGGGAGGCGCUUCCUUUGAAAGGAUAACAAAAUGCAAAAGAAAGAAAGCUAAGAUACGAAGAUUUAUGUACCUCGGUGCUUCAAUGCUGAAGAUUUCUGCAGCUUGGUGUUUCCGUAGGAAGAAGAAAAGGAAAAAUGUGAAGAAAAUACCCAAGACGAGACACCAUGGACGAGCGUGCGCACAACAAUCUCUUGUUGAAAAAGAACUUUUCUGUGAAUUCGCUACCGGAGCAGAAGUGAAUCUGGGUAAAAAGGCGGACUCGAAUGUGAUUGCAGAGGCCUGUAGUGAAACGUUUUCAGAACCAGCAUCAGUUUCAGGUAUUAUCAAGAAGUAUUUUUCGGAUUAUGAUGAAGUGGCCUCCAGUCCAGAAUCUAUGUUUACCACAUCCAGAUAUAUACACAGGAAGCCGCUUAACCGUAGCAACAGAUGUGAAUCCCAUAACAAUCAGAUGAAGUCGCCUGUAACAGUCCAUGUCCCUCCCCAAACAGUUCAUAUCCCUCCUCCCCAGGUAUCUCGCGUGGAGAUGCCCGGUUCUGGAGCAUUGAGAAAUAAGCAUAAAAGGCCUGAUAUUGGAAAGCAUCUUGUGCUUGCAUCGGGUAGCCUUGGGCUUUCUCCGAGUAAUCAACAUUCCAUACUUUCUCUUUGCCGUUACAAUGAUGAAGAGUUGCCAUUUUAAGAAUUCUCAGCUACAAAGCAAACUUAGGAGACUGAAUAGCUGUGAUAGCGUGUAGCCCUAAGUAGAUAGUUGAGUAAAGCCUAACUCUCUAGUGUUCUGUUUCCAACUUGGAGGUAUUAUUAACUACUUCUAGUAUCUUAAGAUGGAAUCUUUGUACAAAUGAAGUGAGUUUGUGGUGUUUGUGCUCAUUCAUAUAUGCUUUUUUCAGGCAAAUAUGCAUUUGUGAAGUGGGCAUUCUCCUUUUUAGAAUGACUGAAUGAAGAAUCUUGUAUUUCUUGUUAUGCUA